rfam:Ricinus communis cultivar Hale ctg_1100012362859, whole genome shotgun sequence.
AGUCCAUGGUGUGGGCAGCAUCACAGUAAGUCCUUGUACCUCUCCCAAGUGUCAUACAUGGACUCAUCAUCAAACUGGAUAAAAGAAGAUAUGUCAUUUCUAAGUUU